GACCUCCUGGAGCCGCUGUACAGCCUCCUUCUCCCUCCUUUCUCCUUCUUUGAAGGCAGACACCUGACAGGGGGAUGCCAUCAAACAGAGAGGCAGGAGGAGCAGAAAUGCAUUACGACAGAGGAGUAGGAGGUGACAGGCCAUCAAACAGAGAAGCAGGAGGAGCAGAAAUUCAUUACGACAGGGGAGUAGGAGGUGACAGGCCAUCAAACAGAGAAGCAGGAGGAGCAGAAAUGCAUUACGACAGGGGAGUAGGAGGUGACAGGCCAUCAAACAGAGAAGCAGGAGGAGCAGAAAUGCAUUACGACAGGGGAGAAGGAGGUGACAGGCCAUCAAACAGAGAAGCAGGAGGAGCAGAAAUUCAUUACGACAGGGGAGUAGGAGGUGACAGGCCAUCAAACAGAGAAGCAGGAGGAGCAGAAAUGCAUUACGACAGGGGAGAAGGAGGUGACAGGCCAUCAAAGAGAGAAGCAGGAGGAGCAGAAAUGCAUUACGACAGAGGAGUAGGAGGUGACAGGCCAUCAAACAGAGAAGCAGGAGGAGCAGAAAUGCAUUACGACAGAGGAGCAGACUCCAGUAAGUGGGUGAUGCUGCCACGAGUGACAUUCAUUACCAGAGACAUGAGCUUCAUUCAGUUCUGCCAGGAA